rnacentral:RNase_P_RNA from 2 species
ACAGGCGGCCGCUCCGGGGGAAUGCAUUUUCUUCCGGGGAGGAAAGUCCAGACACCGCAGGGCAGGAAGCCCGGUUGAAAGGCCGGGUAUCACGGGGAGACCCCGUGGUCAGGAUAGCGCAACAGAGAAGAGACCGCCGGGGGAUGCCGCAAGGCUUUUCUCGGCAAGGGUGAAACGGUGGAGUAAGAGCCCACCGCGUCAUUUCGCAAGGGAUGACGGCAAGGCAAGCCCCUUCCGGUGCAAGACCAAAUAGGGAACGAGGCGCGGCCCGCGCCAUGCGCAAGCACAGUUCCGGGUAUCGGUCGCGUUAGAUGAAUGGUCGCCGGUCCUGGGUGCGAAUCCCGGGGCGCACAGAAUCUGGCUUAUCGUCCUGUCCA